rnacentral:rRNA from 1 species
GAGUAACGCGUGAGGAUCUGCCCUUAGAUGGGGGACAACAGUUGGAAACGACUGCUAAUACCGCAUGAGCCGAGAGGUAAAAGAUAUAUUGUCUAAGGAUGAACUCGCGUCUGAUUAGCUAGUUGGUGGGGUAAGGGCCUACCAAGGCAACGAUCAGUAGCUGGUCUGAGAGGAUGAUCAGCCACACUGGGACUGAGACACGGCCCAGACUCCUACGGGAGGCAGCAGUGGGGAAUUUUCCGCAAUGGGCGAAAGCCUGACGGAGCAACGCCGCGUGCGGGAGGACGGUUUGUGGACUGUAAACCGCUUUUAAUAGGGAAGAAGAACUGACGGUACCUAUUGAAUCAGCAUCGGCUAACUCCGUGCCAGCAGCCGCGGUAAUACGGAGGAUGCAAGCGUUAUCCGGAAUUAUUGGGCGUAAAGGGUCCGCAGGUGGUUUUUCAAGUCAGUCGUUAAAUAUUCGAGCUUAACUCGGAAGUAGCGGUUGAAACUGAAAGACUAGAGUACGGUAGGGGCAGAGGGAAUUCCUAGUGUAGCGGUGAAAUGCGUAGAUAUUAGGAAGAACACCAGUGGCGAAGGCGCUCUGCUGGGC